GCACGACUAUGCGUGCAUAAAUAGACGUUAGGCAUAGUGCGUUAAUAGGGCGUAGUGUGCGCAGGCAUAUUGCACCCUUUUAGGUCGUA
rnacentral:ribozyme from 1 species